rnacentral:lncRNA from 1 species
AUGAUUGAGCCUCAUGGCUCUGUUACUGACAGACGUGGGCGUAAGACUCCUCGAGAGUCAGAUACUCUCGAGGAGCGAGAAAGAAAAAGACUGCGAGACAUUUUUGCAGCACCAUCUGACGAAGAGUCUUUUGAGGGGUUUACGGAGAGAAUGGAGGAGGGGCUGGUUAGCUCGGAGGAGGAUGAGAUGGAUUGGACUCGGGUGAGGGAGGAAUUGGGUGCCACUGGCCAUGAUGGGGCACGGCACCAGAUCGUGGUCAGAUCUGAUCACAAGAAUUUAGAGCACUUGCAAACAGCAAAGAAGUUAAACCAGCGUCAAAUCCGAUGGGCUUUGUUUUUCUCCAGGUUUAACUUCAAGGUGCAGUUCGUAGAGGGGAAGGCAAACUUGCGGGCCGAUGCUUUAUCCCGCAAGCCGGAGUUUAAGACCAAUGAGCAGGUUGUAUGUCAGACCAUCUUGCCUACUGCCUCUCUGUGUGUUGUAGAUAAUGAGCUCGGGUUACAUGACCAGAUCCUUGAGGCUCAGAGGGAUGAUGUGUGGACACAGGAGCAACUGAUGCUGCUCUCAGCAGGUAAUCGUACCAUACUGCCGCAUCUACAAGAUCAAGACGGAGUAUUGGUACGCAGGGGGCAGGUCUACGUACCAGUGGGGGCCCUCAGGUUGGAGGUGAUUAGAGCCCACCAUGACGAACCCAUGGCUGGGCACUUUGGCAGAUUCAAGACCGUGCAGCUCAUUACCAGGAGCUAUUGGUGGCCAAAGAUGCGGCAAGACAUUCUGCGCUUUUGUGACAGCUGCGCCGUUUGCCAGCAGAGUAAGACGCCUGUUGGGCGCCCUAGAGGGUUGUUGUCGUCUCUACCUGUUCCUGAGAGGCCAUGGCAAAUCAUUUCCAUGGAUUUUAUUUCGGAUUUGCCUAAGUCUGGGGGUUAUACUUGUAUUUGGGUGGUGGUGGAUUUAUUUAGCAAACUGGCUCAUUUUAUUCCUUGUUCAACCAUUCCGGCGGCCCCUACGUUGGCUUUACUAUUUACUAAGCACAUCUAUCGUUUGCACGGAGCACCCGAAGUGAUUAUUUCGGAUAGGCUCCGCAAUUUGUGUCACGCUUUUGGAAACACUUCCAUGAGUGCUUAGGACUAAGUGANNNNNNNNNNNNNNNNNNNNNNNNNNNNNNNNNNNNNNNNNNNNNNNNNNNNNNNNNNNNNNNNNNNNNNNNNNNNNNNNNNNNNNNNNNNNNNNNNNNNCGCAACGGAUGGACAGUCGGAACGGGUUAAUGGGCUCUUAGAGCAGUAUUUGCGUUGUUUUUGUUUAGAUCAACCCACGGCUUGGGUGAAGUGGUUACCGGUGGCGGAGUUCGCUUACAACAAUGCGGUGCACACGUCUAGUCAGCAUACGCCAUUUGAGCUAACUUAUGGUUUUCACCCACGGGGAGGUGUGGCGCCGUCGACCAAUGUGGUCUCUUCGGACCCUGUGUACCGCUCUUCGGAAAUGGCUGCAUUGCAUGAUGUUGCCCGUCGCUUACUGUUGGAAGCUAAGGCAACGCAAAAGACUCAGGCUGACCGCCACAGGCAGGCAGGGGAGGAGUUGGAAGAAGGGGAUUUGGUGUGGUUAUCUUCCAAACAUAUUAAACAGGCUGGGGGAAAGUUUGCGCCUCGGUAUUUGGGUCCCUUUCCUAUCGUUAAAAAGAUUUCUUCCGUUGCGUUUCGUUUGCGUUUACCAUCUAGUUUAAAGGUCCAUCCAGUCUUCCAUCGUUCGCUGUUGAAACUAGAUACCUCCAGUCGUCGUGGUGCUAUAGCGGAGGGUAUCACUGCCACUUCUCCGCCAUCGGGGGAGGAGGCCUUUGUGAGAGGGGAUAGUGUUAUGAUUGAGCCUCAUGGCUCUGUUACUGACAGACGUGGGCGUAAGACUCCUCGAGAGUCAGAUACUCUCGAGGAGCGAGAAAGAAAAAGACUGCGAGACAUUUUUGCAGCACCAUCUGACGAAGAGUCUUUUGAGGGGUUUACGGAGAGAAUGGAGGAGGGGCUGGUUAGCUCGGAGGAGGAUGAGAUGGAUUGGACUCGGGUGAGGGAGGAAUUGGGUGCCACUGGUAAUGAUGGGAUAGAAGAUGAAUGGGGACCUUCAGGAUUAGACCCAUGGUCAAGCUGGAGGGAUGGGACGGGAUCCACAGCUGGAGAUGCUGUGGGGCGUAGUCAGAGGUGUUCCAGCUCUGAUGAGGAAAGUGAUGAGGAAACGCCCGGGUUAAGGAGGACAGCUGACAGUGAUGAGGAUUUGUAACUGGCAUAAAAUGGGGCUUGGGAGCAAUUGCAAAUUGCGUUGGGCAAGGUAAUCUGGACGAACGCUUGGGAUCUGUGUGGGACGCUUUCCUGAAGACUGGUGUGUUUUCGUGUGCUGAUACGUAAGUUGUUUUGGAAUUCAGGGUCAGACAGCGGGAGGAAUUGUGUGGGCAUUUGUUUGUGCAAACCUGUGCUUACUCUUAUUAGCUUGACCUUCCGUCGUCUUCUUGACGGACGCCAUCUCCUGCUUUGAAAUUCGGACUGAACUUACCACGGCUUGACUUCCCCCUUCUUGGACUUGGAAACUACAAACGUCUGCUUCUGGCUUUGAUCUACGGAAAGGAACUGGGUCUACUCUACUGCUACAAUCCUUGGCUGAUCUGUUCGUGUUGGAAAUCCUGUCUGCUGUGUGUGUGGGAGCGACGCAAGUUACUCUAAGCACAGUGUUGGCAGCAGAGAGGAAUCUGCUGCCAAUUAGUUGCAUUCUUUUGUAUCUUUUGUUCCUCGGCUUUUGUUUUGUUUAUCCCCAGGCUGAAGCAAGCAGUUUGUUUUUACCCGGAUUAAACUCCGGUUUAAUCCGGUUAAUCUUUUGAACGUUUUUUCUUGUCCCUUUUUGCUCCUAAAGGCUAAUACUGCCUGGCCCUUGUAUUUUACGGGCAUUUUUGAGUUCUGUAAUUCAAUAAACUCUGUUAUCUUGAAUCUUGUGGCGUUCUGUCCUUGACAGAUUGCCCAACGCCAUAAAAAGUUUAUUGCAGUAAUAAACCCGUCAGGAAGACGAUGGAGGAGUUAAGGGCCAAAUUUGAGCAAUUACAAACGGCUUUUACCGUCAGUCAAGCAGCUCAUGCUGUGAAAGGACAUGUUUUGACUCCUGAACGCUUUGACGGAACCAGGUGCAAGUUGCCAACCUUUUUGGCACAAGUGGAGCUUUAUUUUUCCCAGCUCAGUGCUCAUGCUUUUCCUACAGACACUAGCAAGGUGGCAUUUAUUUUGAGUUUGUUGACCGGUCCCGCAGGACAAUGGGCCACUAACUUAAUUUUGGGAAAUGACCCAGUCAAGGACAAUUUGAAUAAUUUCAAAAAGUUAUUAACUGACACUUUUGGGGAUCCUCUCCGCACGGAGAAUGCUGGGUGGGCUCUGUAUCGUUUGAAACAGGGAAAGGGGACUGUUUUGGAUUACUUAAAUAAGUUUAACUUGUAUCGCCACCAGCUGGAUUGGGGGGAAAAUGCAUUCAUGCUUUUAUUUACUGCUGGGUUAAGUGAUAUGCUCCAGGAUGAAUUAGCACGCUUGGAGCCGGCUGAAAAUUGGGACGCCUUAGUAGCUAAGGUGCUGCGUUUGGACGCAAGGUUCAAGGCUCGUAAACACUCGAAAGCAAUGUGUGCGCCACCCAUGCAUGUAACCAGGGCACCUGUGGUGAUGGGGGAAGAGCCUAUGGAGCUUGGGGUCUUUAAAAAGCUGUCUACAGAGGAAAAGAGCCGUAGGAGGCAGCUGGGGUUGUGUUUGUACUGUGGGAAUGCUGGGCAUUUUGCCAAAGACUGUAAUGUAAAACCUUCUCAGCUUUCGGGAAAAGGCCAGCCCUAGUGCGACGUGAGUCCAACGCACUAGGGCUCCUCAAGCAGUCAACUGAGGGGAGGAAGCAUGUUUUCGUACCCAUUACAUUAUCUGUUGGGGGAAGGGAACUUGUUUCUACUUUGGCACUGCUGGACUCAGGGGCUACGGUCUCUUAUGUAGAUAUUGAGUUUGCUAAGAAGCAUGGCAUUCCUAGAGUGCGCAAGGCAUGCGACGUGUGGGUGGAAGGAGCAGAUGGGAGACUGCUGGAGACUGGGGUGGUUA